rnacentral:rRNA from 1 species
AGAAGAGAGAAUGCCGGAAUGAGUAGCGAGAACAAGGUGAGAAUCCUUGUGGCCGAAUAUCCAAGGUCUCCAGGGUAAAGCUGAUCUGCCCUGGGAAAGUCGGGACCUAAGGUGAGGCUGAAAAGCGUAGCCGAUGGACAACAGGUUGAUAUUCCUGUACCGCAUGGUAACAGAACUGUGGGGACACGGGAGGGAAACAUGGGCCGGAAAUGGAAAGUCCGGUACAAACGGGGUAGUCGCACAGCAGGCAAAUCCGCUGUGCAUGAGACGAAGCCGUGAUGUGGAGCGAACUAAAGUAGUGAAGCAUGUGCCCCCUCCUGUCGAGAAAAGCCGCUAUUGUUUGCCAUGCGCCCGUACCGUAAACCGACACAGGUGGAUGAGGAGAGAAUCCUAAGGCCGGCGGGAGAAGCAUUGUCAAGGAACUCGGCAAAAUGACCCCGUAACUUCGGGAGAAGGGGUGCCCACGCAAGUGGGCCGCAGAGAAUAGGCUCAAGCAACUGUUUAGCAAAAACACAGGUCUAUGCGAAACCGUAAGGUGAUGUAUAUGGGCUGACGCCUGCCCGGUGCUGGAAGGUUAAGAGGAGAGGUUAGCUUCGGCGAAGCUUUGAAUCCAAGCCCCAGUAAACGGCGGCCGUAACUAUAACGGUCCUAAGGUAGCGAAAUUCCUUGUCGGGUAAGUUCCGACCCGCACGAAAGGCGUAAUGAUUUGAGCGCUGUCUCGACAAUGCACCCGGUGAAAUUGAAGUACCAGUGAAGAUGCUGGUUACCCGCGCCAGGACGGAAAGACCCCAUGGAGCUUUACUCCAGUUUGGUACUGGAGCUUGGUAUUGCAUGUACAGGAUAGGUGGGAGCUUAUGAANGGAGGCGCUGUUGGGAUACCACCCUUGCAAUAUCGGGUUUCUAACCAGCCGCCGUGAUCCGGCGGUGGGACAAUGCCAGGCGGGGAGUUUGACUGGGGCGGUCGCCUCCGAAAGGGUAUCGGAGGCGCUCAAAGUUUCCCUCAUAAUGGUCGGAAACCAUUAGAAGAGUGCAAAGGCAGAAGGGAGGCUGACUGCGACACCGACGGGUGGAGCAGGUACGAAAGUAGGACUUAGUGAUCCGGUGGCAUAAAGUGGGAUUGCCAUCGCUCAACGGAUAAAAGCUACCCUGGGGAUAACAGGCUUAUCACUCCCAAGAGUUCACAUCGACGGAGUGGUUUGGCACCUCGAUGUCGGCUCAUCGCAUCCUGGGGCUGUAGCAGGUCCCAAGGGUUGGGCUGUUCGCCCAUUAAAGCGGUACGCGAGCUGGGUUCAGAACGUCGUGAGACAGUUCGGUCCCUAUCCGGCGCGGGCGUAGGAUAUCUGAGGGGAGCUGGCCUUAGUACGAGAGGACCGGGCUGGACGGACCACUGGUGUACCGGCUGUCAUGCCAAUGGCAUCGCCGGGUAGCCAAGUCCGGAAGGAAUAAACGCUGAAGGCAUCUAAGCGUGAAGUCCCCCCCAAGAUGAGAUAUCCCAUCCUU